GACGCUCAUGCACGAAAGCGUGGGGAGCAAACAGGAUUAAAUACCCUGGUAGUCCACGCCCUAAACGAUGUCUACUAGUUGUCGGGUUUUAAUUAACUUGGUAACGCAGCUAACGCGUGAAGUAAACCGCCUGGGGAGUACGGUCGCAAGAUUAAAACUCAAAGGAAUUGACGGGGACCCGCACAAGCGGGGGAUGAUGUGGAUUAAUUCGAUGCAACGCGAAAAACCUUACCUACCCUUGACAUGUCAGGAAUCCUCGAGAGAUCGGGGAGUGCCCGAAAGGGAACCUGAACACAGGUGCUGCAUGGCUGUCGUCAGCUCGUGUCGUGAGAUGUUGGGUUAAGUCCCGCAACGAGCGCAACCCUUGUCAUUAGUUGCUACGCAAAAGCACUCUAAUGAGACUGCCGGUGACAAACCGGAGGAAGGUGGGGAUGACGUCAAGUCCUCAUGGCCCUUAUGGGUAGGGCUUCACACGUCAUACAAUGGUACAUACAGAGGGCCGCCAACCCGCGAGGGGGAGCUAAUCCCAGAAAGUGUAUCGUAGUCCGGA
rnacentral:rRNA from 1 species